UACGGAGGGUGCAAGCGUUGUUCGGAAUCACUGGGCGUAAAGCGCGUGUAGGCGGCUAUUUAAGUCUGAUGUGAAAGCCCUGGGCUUAACCCAGGAAGUGCAUUGGAUACUGGGUAGCUCGAGUACCGGAGAGGAGGGUGGAAUUCCUGGUGUAGCGGUGAAAUGCGUAGAUAUCUGGAGGAAUACCGGUGGCGAAGGCGGCAUCCUGGACCGGCAUUGACGCUGAGGAGCGAAAGCCAGGGGAGCAAACGGG
rnacentral:rRNA from 1 species